ensembl:lncRNA
CGAGCCCCAGUCCACACAGAGAGCCGAGGAGAGCUACAGCGUACUAGGUCGACGAGCGAAGAAAAUGGCGAUUAUGCAGGACAAAUGCCUCCCCUCGUAGAUGCUGCGAAUGCGUUGAAAUUUCUUUAGCCUUACAGCCGGCUUUCAUUUCCACUCUGUUGCACUUUAUACUUUUUGAGAGAUUUGGAUUUGGAAGCUGUGGCCACCAAAGAAACUGAAGAGUCAAAACAGGGAACUCACUCACAGUGGCUGGAAGAGAGACAAAGAGUGACGAGGAAGGAGCAUAAGACUACACAGAAGUGGACAACAGUGCCAGAUCAUAUCAAGUCCAGGCAGAGUCCCAACUCCCGACGACACACCCACCAUUCUGCACACACACUUAACACACAUUCAAGGUCGCACAAACACUCACACACACGCGCGCGUGCGCACACACUCAAAACAACAAUUCCUCAGCGAUGCCAAGAGGGCCUGCUCAGCUCGCUGCCUGCUCCGACAAGCGCCGCCCCCUCCUCUCCGACCCCUGAGGCCGACCCUCUUGAGCUGUGACCCUUCUGACCCAACCCCGUCGCCCUGGGAACGAGAGGUCCGUUCUCCUCCCAGCCGCCAGGGGGCGCCCUCGCGCCGACACGGGAGCGAGCCGCUCUUAAAAACAUGGCUCCCAUUCGGGACUCCGUCAGCCACUCCCCUAAUCAAACAGGUGACUGCACAACCCUUUUCUCCCUUUCACUGGUCAUUCUUUAACACGUCUGCCCUGCACUGCUUCCUAUUCCUCCUUUCCUGACACCAACCACAAUUCUAAACCCCGUUCGCCCCCCGAGCACAACGAGCUACCCUGCGAUCCGUAUCCGUAGAGCAAGCCGGUGACUUUGCCAAAUGUCGAACAUGGUACAGUAGAGUAUUGAGUUGUUGUCGUACUGAAGGAUGAUUGCAAAAAAAAGUCUAAACGUUGGCGGCCCUGUGUGUGUGUGUGUGCGUGUGUCUCUGGCUCCGUAGCAGGUCGUCCUUGGCUAAAUGUUCUUUCCGACGCAGCGUGUCAACGUGACAUAUGCAGUCCCACAGGGGGCAGAGACGCUGAUAGCGAGGGAGCGAUUGAGUUGACUGUUGGUGUGAAAGAGCGACUGGG